rnacentral:rRNA from 1 species
GACGAACGCUGGCGGCGUGCUUAACACAUGCAAGUCGAACGGAAAGGCCCUGCUUGCAGGGUAGUCUAGUGGCGCACGGGUGAGUAACACGUGGGUGAUCUGCGCUGCACUUGGGGAUAAGCCUGGGAAACUGGGGCUAAUACCGGACAGGUGCCAGUUUGAGUGUGAUGGUUGGAAAGGUUUUUCGGUGUGGGAUGAGAUCGCGGUCUAUUAGCUUGUUGGUGGGGUAAUGGCCUACCAAGGCGGCGACGGGUAGCCGGCCGGAGAGGGUGGACGGCCACAUUGGGACAGAGAUACGGCCCAGGCACCUGCGGGGGGCAGCGGUGGGGAAUAGUGCACAAGAGGCGGCAGCGUGAUGCAGCGACGCCGCGUGGGGGGUGACUGCCUUCGGGUUGUAAACGCGUUUCGCAAGUGACGAAGCUUUUUGUGACGGUACCUAGAUAAGAAGCACCGGCUAACUACGUG